UUACAAAACAAAACUUAGCCCAUAUAAAACUAUACUUACGAGACCUAUCCAUAUAUUAAUCCCAUGUAAACUACAAAACUCUUUUCUUCGUCUUCAUUUGAUACAUUCAAGCGACGGCUAAAAUGGCAGGUCAUUGCAAUUAAAAUAGAAGAUGGAGCCACCUCCUUUGAAACCCUAAAACUCCGGCCAACCACCACCCAACCCAUCGAACCACCAUACCAUUAGAAAGCCCUCAUCACACUCUACAAUUCUCACCCACCAUCUUUAUUCAAAAUCACUAGAAUUCGCCCAAAUAUUGAGCUAAAAUGAGCUACCCACGUGCAUCAAAACUGCUGAAAUCACCUCCUCCAGCAACACCAAUGUAAUGCCCAUCAUCCCAGAUGAUUAUUCACACCAGGGCGAUCCUUUCCAUGGUCUACAACUGCCCCUAAUUCACAGAAUAGAAAUCAAUAGGCUGCCCAUUCGAAGACAGUGUAGACGCAGCUUUCAGGGCAUUUUUUCAGCAUUGGUAGUGAGACCCAUGAUCGCAGACCACCACUAUAGGCCAAAACUCAUCAUGGCACAUCUACUGGGCAUAUGGGUCUUCCUCAAUUUAGUGUUGAAAUGGUAGAUUGUUCAGAAACGGCACACGGGUAUAUUAACCGGUUUGAUCUCCUUUCAAUUGGCAACCCUCCUCAACUCCAAUAUACAAAUUGCAUCAACCAUCAUGCAUAGUUAUCAAACCCGGAUCGGACCGGCCGGUUCAAUCCGGAACCCGUCGAACCGGACCCAGAUCCAGUCCGAUUGUGAGGAAUUUAUGGAUGAAAAAUCAGCCCGUCAACAACCCGCUAGAAUCGCCGGUUUUACAUAGAACCGGGGUACCGACUUUUUAUUGACCCGACCGGUUCUUAAGUAACCGUGUUUCACUUUCCUUUCCUCACAGAUUCCUUCCAGUUUUCUUCCCCACUCCGUCUCCUCACAAUUUCUAACUUCUAAGACAUUAGGGAUUCUUGCAAAAUUAAAAACCUCAGCCGCCGUCUCAAUCUCUUGCAAUUCAACAACUCCCAAGAAUCAAAAUCUCCAAUUUCAAGUUUUAAAAGAUGGAAGAGCAGGAAUUGACCCGCCGGUUGAACCACCGGGUCACCGGUUAAACCACUGACCCGUUGACCCACUACAUUGUCCGGGUUGAGGUUCGAUCCGAGUCUGAUAACUAUGCUCACAGGGCUUACCACUAGAUCCAAUCAAGGUAGAAGUUCCCAACACAUAUCAGAGAGUAAAUGUAAGUACAUAAGCUUUACUCCUUUUUCAUUUGAAGUUUUUAGGGGGAAAAAAUAGAAACUUCACUAGUAAAGUGGUUCAUAAGUCGACUAGUUUAGAACUUUAUUGUGUGGAUCUUUGAGAUUGAUCCCGGUAGUUUCUUUGCAGCUUUGAUUCAAUAACUACGCUUAGAUAAUUCUACAUCGCAUAUGCAGUGCAUUGUCAUUGUUUCAUCUUUAUCUUAUUAUAUAUGAAGAGCACGCAUCUUAUCAUGGUGCUUGUAAAGUUUAACUGAUGUGACUGGACUUUCACGACUACAGUGAAAUGUCAUUAGCUUAUAGGCCAUCUCAUGCUGAUGCAACUUAUGAUUUCAAGUAUGGCGUGAAAUCAGUGCAGGGUAGUGGUAGAUCUGCUACAAGAGACAUUGGGAGAGUUGUCGCUAGAGCUGUUGCUAAGAAAAUUUUAAAUCAAUAUUCAGGAACAGAGGUGAUCUCUUUGAUAUUGUGAUGAAAGAGCAUAUAUAUCUUUCAAAACAUUUUUGUUGGGUACUGCUUCAUAUGUAGUCACCAUGAUCUCAAGUAUACAAUAUACGAUUAUAGGACUUUGCAUGUUCUUGUGGAUAAUCCUAUUAACUUGUAAGUAGUGCUUGUUCUCGCAUUUUGGAAUUUUCUCUAGGGGUUUUAUAAUGAUUUGAUUUUGAUUGUAAAUGUAACGACCCAAAAAUUAAGAAUU